rfam:Bacterium G20 isolate G20 NODE_5_length_22779_cov_426.552, whole genome shotgun sequence.
UUUUUGAAGAGUUUGAUCCUGGCUCAGGAUGAACGCUGGCGGCGUGCCUAAGAUAUGCAAGUCGAGCGGUAACGAGUUUCUCACCGAGGUUCGAAACAGCAAAAUGCAAAAAGUAAGAAGUAAAAUGGGCAGACCAAAAGCCCUUAUUGCCUUUUACAUAUUGCUUAUUGCUACAAUUCGAGCUUCAGUGAGAAAUGUCGACGAGCGGCGGACGGCUGAGUAACGCGUAGGAACGUACCCCAAAGUGAGGAAUAAGCCCGGGAAACCGGGUCUAAUGCCGCAUAAUCUCGUAUCUCACUAACGUUCGAUACUCGAGCGGAGAGUAAACAGCGAACAGCGUACAGAUAUAAACCCUGGACGCUGACCGCUACACGCUGAACGCUUGUAAAGUAGCGAGCGAUAGCGAGGUACGAGCAAAGCUUUUAGCGCUAUGGGAGCGGCCUGCGUAUGAUUAGCUUGUUGGUGAGGUAAAGGCUCACCAAGGCGACGAUCAUUAGCUGGUCUGAGAGGAUGACCAGCCAGACUGGGACUGAGAACGGCCCAGACCCCUACGGGGGGCAGCAAUUAGGAAUUUUUCACAAUGGGGGCAACCCUGAUGGAGCAACGCCGCGUGCAGGAGGAAGGUCUUCGGAUUGUAAACUGCUUUUAUCUGUGACGAUUAUGACGGUAACAGAUGAAUAAGGAUCGGCUAACUCCGUGCCAGCAGCCGCGGUCAUACGGAGGAUCCAAGCGUUAUCCGGAAUUACUGGGCGUAAAGAGUUGCGUAGGUGGCAAUAUAAGCAAAUAGUGAAAGCGUGCGGCUCAACCGCAUAUCCAUUAUUUGAACUGUAUAGCUUGAGCAUGAGAGAGGUAGAUGGAAUUUCUAGUGUAGGAGUGAAAUCCGUAGAUAUUAGAAGGAACACCGAUGGCGUAGGCAGUCUACUGGCUCAUUGCUGACACUAAGGCACGAAAGCGUGGGGAGCGAACGGGAUUAGAUACCCCGGUAGUCCACGCCGUAAACUAUGGAUGCUAGCUGUUAGAAGUAUCGACCCUUCUAGUAGCGAAGCUAACGCGUUAAGCAUCCCGCCUGUGGAGUACGGCCGCAAGGCUAAAACAUAAAGGAAUUGACGGGGACCCGCACAAGCGGUGGAGCGUGUUGUUUAAUUCGACGAUAAGCGAAGAACCUUACCAGGGUUUGACAUCCUGCCAAUCUUUCCGAAAGGAGAGAGUGCCUUCGGGCCGCAGUGACAGGUGUUGCAUGGCCGUCGUCAGCUCGUGUCGUGAGAUGUUUGGUUAAGUCCAUUAACGAGCGCAACCCUUAUAGUUAGUUGAAUUUUUCUAGCUAGACUGCCCUGGUAACAGGGAGGAAGGAGGGGAUGAUGUCAGGUCUGUAUUACCCUUACAUCCUGGGCUACAAACACGCUACAAUGGCCGGUACAAAGGGCAGCUAAGCCGCGAGGCGGAGCAAAUCCCAUCAAAGCCGGUCUCAGUUCGGAUUGCAGGCUGAAACUCGCCUGCAUGAAGCUGGAAUCGCUAGUAACGGUAGGUCAGCACACUACCGUGAAUACGUUCCCGGGUCUUGUACACAGAAUGAGAAGCGCCUGG